rnacentral:ncRNA from 1 species
UUCAAGGGGUGCUGCCUAUCGGCGGCUGAGAUGAUACCCUCAAACCUGAUUCGGACAAUGCCGACGUAGGGAUGAAAAGUAU